rnacentral:lncRNA from 1 species
GGGGACUCAAAGGGGGCUGACCAGGGGGGAGUUCUCCCCCCCCCCUCCACCUCCUCUCUUUCCGCAGGCAGGCAGCUGAGUGACACAAUGUGACAGAAGCUGGCUGCUGCCAAACACAUCGUGUCUAUUCAGCAUCCUCUGCCAGGACUUCAGCCCACCUGCCAGACACGUAACCAGGUGGGGAGGAGCCUUGGUGACUGCAGCCUCCCCUGACACUUCAUCAUCGAUUUUCCACAGCGAGAGAGAGAGAGAGAGAGAGAGAGAGAGGGGAAGUGAAAUGUGAUGCAGCAGAAACUACAACAAAUGGAAAAUACAACAAAUAAAGCGGAAACAAAUGGAUGAGUAAAGAUGAAACCCUUAUUGGACUUUUUUAUGAUAUAGUUUUGAGUUCUUAUUAUUAUUAUUUUUAGUAACCUCCUUGUCCAACCUUCUCUAAUUAGAAUGUUCUGUUUUUUUGUUUUACAGGCGUUGUCAAGGCCCUGAUCUACAAGUAUGUGUGCUUAAACGCUUUUCAUCCUGCUCCAGUAAUGACCAACCUUUGGCAGUUAAUGUGUCGUAGACUAUUUUCUCUAUGAUGCCCAAACAACUGUUUGGGGAUCUUGGGAAUUGUAGUCCGUGACACUGAAAUGCCAAAAGUUAUCCAUAACGGCAUUACUGCUCUAGAUAUUUUAUGUUUAUGACUCCAUUAACCCUCUGAGUUUAAACGUUUUAAGGCUUUAAAUGGCAGAGGGGUGUUUAUAUCACUCAGACACUUGAGGAAUUGUACAUUUAAGCCUCUAAUUUUAGUACAGUGUUGAUCUCAGACGUAGUUACAUAACAUGAUGCUAAAAUUACAAAAAAUAAAAAGCAUUAAUUUUAUGUGUGCAUGUUAUGGAGAAAAGAACUGUUUUUGUAUCUUUUUUUUACUUUUUUGUUUUAUUAUAGACAAUUUCACAAGUAGCAUCAAAGAGAUUAUGAAGACUUAAGUGUCAGUUGGCCCAUCUUAUUUCUCUGGUAUGAAACCUCAUACUUGUUUAAAUUAGUUGUUUUUAUUAUAUUGCUUUAUAUGGACAUCUCAAACAUUCUUGAGUUUCUUUACUAUUUUAUAUUAUUUCCACUGGAGGGUUGUUCAAAGUAUCUACAACUCUUUUUGUGACAUUGUACUACUGUCUCACCAAGCUAAUCCCAAAUCAUAUACUCUUGGUUUUUUUUUUUCAUUCUUUUUAUUUUUCAUGAAAAUGCUCCUUUUUGCCUUUUUUUAAAGUCUCUUAAUUGUAUUUGUUUAAUAUUCUUAUUUUCUUUUAAAGAAGAAAGGAAAGUUAUCUUCCAUAGCUAUUCUGAUUUAAAGAAUCAAACAGGCACAUGUACUUACCAAUGGUUCUUAACCUCUUUUUCACAGGGAUCCACAUUAUGUGAAUCGUAAAAGCAUGGCCACCAAUUCUUCACUCAGUGACCCAUUCUUAGAUUACAAUAAAAAAAAAAAAGUCUUGAAAUAUUUGGACAUUGACACGAUUUUUUAAAUUUUGGCUCGGUACGCCACCAUAGUGGAUUUAACAUUAAAAAAACAAAGAUGCAAUUGGAGUGCAGACUUUCAACUUUAAUUCAAGGGGUUGAAUAAAAAUAUUGUAUGAAACAUUUAGGAAUGGCAACCAUUUUCAUACACAAUCCCCUUAUUUCAGGGGCUCAAAUGUAAUUGGACAAAUUAACACAAUCAUAAAUAAAAUGUACAUUUUAUAUACUUUGUCGACAAUCCUUUGUAGGCAAUGACUUUUUGAAAUCUGGAAUGUGUGGACAUCACCAAAUGAUUUCCUCCUUGUGAUGCUUUGCCAUAUCUUUAGUGCAGCUGUCUUCAGUUGUUUGUUCGUGUGUCUUUCUGCCUUACGUUUUGUCUUCAGCAAGUGAAAUAUCUACUCAAUCAGGUUGAGAUCAGGUGGUUGACUCGGCCAUUGCAGAAUAUACCACAUCUUUGCCUUAAAAAACUCCUGGGUUGCUUUCGCAGUAUGCUUACGGUCACUGUCUAUCUGUAAAGUGAAGGUCCGUCCAAUCAAUUUGGCUGAAUCUGUGAAGACAAUAUAUUCCUAUACACUUAAGAAUUCAUCUGGCUGCAGGAUGCAGAAUUCAUCCUUGUCUUCUUGCACAUCAUCAAUAAACACUAGUGACCCAGUGCCAUUGGAAGCCAUACCUGCCAUCACAUUGCCUCCACCAUGUUUUACAGGUGAUGUGGUAUGUUUCGGAUCAUGAGCCAUUCCAAGCCUUCUACAUACUUUUGUCUUCCCAUCAUGCCGUUACCGGUUGAUCUUAGUUUCAUCUGUCCGAGGAAUGCUGUUCCAGAACUGGGCUGGCUUUUGUAGAUGUUUUUUUCCAAAGUCUAAUCUGGCCUUUCUAUUCUUGAGACUUAUGAAUGGUUUGCACCUCGUGGUGAACCCUCUUUAUUUGCCCUCGCAAAAGUCUUUUUCUUAUGGUAGAAUUGGAUAAUGGCAUACCUACCUCCUGGAGAGUGUUCUUCAUGGCUGGAUGUUGUGAAGGGUUUUUUCUUUACCUUUUCUGUACCAGGGAAUGGAUACCACGAUCAUCCACCACUGAUGUUUCCUGUGGAUGUCCAGGCCUUUUUGUGUUGCAGAGAUCACCAAUGAGUUUUCUCAGAAUGUUUUGGCCACUCCUAAUCUUCCUGCUAUCUCUCUGAUGGAUUUUCAAUAUUUUUUUUCAGCCUAAGGAUGGCCUGUUCACUUGCUUUGAGAGCCCUUUUGACCGCAUGUUGUUGGUUCAUAACAACAGCUUCCAAAUGCGAAUGCCACACCUGGAUUCAACUCCAGGUAUUUUACCUGCUUAAUUGAUGAAGACAUAAUGAAGGAAGCCCACACCUGUUCAUGAAACAGCUUUUGAGUCAAUUGUCCAAUUACUUUUGGUCCUUUGAGAAAGAGGGGGCUGCAUAAUUAAGAGCUGUAAUUCCUAAACCCUUCCUCCAGUAUGGAUGGGAAUACCCUCAAAUUAAAGGGUCACUCAAGACCCCUAAACAACUUUAGCUUGCCGAAAAGCUUUAUGUGCAAAGAGUGUGUCCUCUUUUUCCAUUUUUCAAAAAGUGAAGAUUUUAAUGCAAAUUGACACUUUUAUGAAUUAACCUGGUUAUACCCCCUUGGCUUUCAAGCAGGGUACGGGUAAUGUUACUCCCUGGUUUCGUUAGCUCAAUGCAUCUGACCUUAAGAAGCAGCAAUUGCCCAGAGCACCUGACUUACAAAGAAGUCUUAGUGAGCUGUAUUGGGAAGUCUGUGAUUGGACAGACACAUAAAGUCUGGGCGGGGUUAGAAGGGGAGGGCUUGCAAAGGCUGCAGACAAGAGAACUGUAGGUUUUUUCAAGCUGAGUUUAUGUAUAUACCCAAUGAAGAAAUACAAAAUAAAAUA